UUUUCUUAAAAUAGUUUGUUAAAAAGUUACCACCUUUAUCCAAUAAAUAGUUUUACAAACAAGCACUUCAAAUAAGUUUAAUGAAGAUCAAUUAUUAAAUAAUAUAUUAUUAGUGUAAAAAAGCUUUACUUACCAAAAUAAAUAAAAUAACAGAAAAUUCGUAAAAAUACAUAUUAAAAAAAUUAUUUUAAUUAAAUACAACUAGAAGAUCAAUCAAAAUUCAUUAAGAAAUAAUAAAUAAAAAUAAAAUUACUUAAGAAAAAGAAAAAUUUAAACAAAUUAUGUUAAUAAAUAUUGUGCCUUAACAGAAAAAAUUAAAAACCUAAAAUAAGCUUUUGCGUGAGUGUUUCUUGAUCAUAAUAAUUUGUCGUCAUAUCAAACAACGUCGUCGUCACCAAAACGUCCAUAAGUACAACAACAAAAACGUCUUUUCUUUUGUUCCUGUAAUACAAACACAUACAUAGACAACAAUACAACCAUAACGACGACGACGGACGAAGGAAUACGGUUGCGCCAAACAAUGUGCACAAAAAAAUGUUUUCGCAUGCCAACGUUAGUCAUAUUCGGUGUCAUUCUCACAAUCGUCUUAGUCUUCAUUACCGGCAUCACACUAACCAACAGUAUUAAUAUUUCAAAUAUUGUCAAGCUGCGCGAAAAAGUUGCUAGUGAUUCAGCUGCAGCCAAUAGUGUCAAUGCAGCACAAACGAGAGCAGCUUUGGUGGAGCAACAGUAUUCGACAUUGCAACAGCAUCAUUUGUCACGAAGUGAUUUAAAUUAUAUAACAGCUAAUCAUCCAAAAAAUUUACAACGUUUCCUGCAAACGUCUCAAAAUCAACAGCCAUCAGCACAGCCGCCGCCCCUGCAACAUUUACCACCACCAGCUCAACAACCAGCAGUUGGCGCGGCAGCAAAUAGCAACAACAACAACAAUAAUAAUAAUAACAAUAAUAAAAUAAUAAUUGAAAUUGGCAUACGUAAUUUUACAGCUGCAGCUGCUGCCGCUGCUGUGGCAGCACAUCGAGAACAGCAACAACAAUUGCUACAAACAAAUAAUCGUUCCUUGUCUUCAGCAUCAGCAUCAACAUCAGCAUCAUCGACAUCUUCAGCGUUGUCUUCCUUUGAUAGUAAUCAAACAUUAGUGGAAAGAAAUGUGGUUAGUGCGGCUGGUGCAGCCACAAUUGUUGAACAGUUAGUGGCGCCUUUUGAUGGCGCCAUUAUUGAUGGUAAUAUAGAAUCCAUAUCAGUGCCAGCCACUUCGGAAAUUCGGCAACAAUUAAAUGAAACUUUGAAAUAUUUAGCCGAAAAUGACAAAACGGUGACAUCUCUUGAAAAUAAAAAUUCCUUAAUGUUAAAUCGAUUACCUCCGCUGAACCAUAGUAGUACCAUAACAACCACAACAUUAAAACCAUUAAAUUCCAGCUCGAAUGCAACAGUAACUUCAACUCCAUUUUCAAUAUCAUCAAAUUUAACAUUAAAUGCUACGGCAACUUCAUCAUCAUUAGUGGCAACAACUAAAAGCUUUUUAAAUAAUUCCUUAAAUUCUUCAACAACAUCAUCAAAUGUUGCCGUAUCCACUUUGUCAUCGACAACAACAUCAGUUCCAGCAUUACCUGCUGAUACUGACUCAACAGCGACAAGUACCCUAACAACAACAACAACUACACCAAUAACUCCAGCAUUAACGGCUGCUUUAACUACAGCAGCAAAUCAAUUAAGCAUUGAAGAUCAUAAUCCCGGCAUGAUUGAUUUCGAAAAACGUAAUUAUGUUAAAGAGAUGAUGCAACAUGCCUGGCAAAAUUACAAACUUUAUGCCUGGGGCAAAAACGAACUGAGACCGCUGUCCCAACGAGCCCAUAGUAGUAGUAUUUUCGGCUCAAUGGAUCUUGGAGCUACAAUUAUUGAUGGCCUUGACACUCUCUACCUAAUGGGUUUGGAGAAAGAAUAUAAAGAGGGUAGAGAUUGGAUUGAACGUAAAUUCACCUUAGACAAUGUGAGUGCUGAUUUGUCGGUAUUCGAAACGAAUAUACGUUUCAUUGGUGGUCUCCUAACAAUGUAUGCCUUUACGGGUGAUAAUCUUUAUAAGGAGAGAGCCCAACAUGUAGCCGAUAAACUAUUACCUGCCUUUCAGACACCAACUGGUAUACCAUAUGGUUUGGUAAAUCCUAAAACUGGUUUGAGUAAAAAUUACGGUUGGGCUUCCGGUGCAAGUUCUAUACUCUCUGAAUUUGGUACUCUACAUUUAGAAUUUAGUUAUUUAAGUGAUAUUACCGGUAAUCCUUUAUACAAGGAGAGAGUACAAACCAUUAGACAAAUAUUGAAAGAGAUCGAAAAACCCAAAGGUUUAUAUCCCAAUUUUUUGAAUCCUAAAACUGGUAAAUGGGGUCAAUUACACAUGUCCUUGGGUGCUUUGGGUGAUAGUUUCUAUGAAUAUUUACUUAAAGCCUGGCUUCAGUCCGGUCAAACCGAUGAAGAGGCCCGACAAAUGUUUGAUGAAGCCAUGGUUGCCAUUAUUGAUAAAAUGGUACGCACUAGUCCUAAUGGUUUGACUUAUGUUUCCGAUUUGAAAUUCGAUCGUUUGGAACAUAAAAUGGAUCAUUUAGCUUGUUUUUCAGGUGGUCUCUUUGCUUUGGGUGCUAACACCAGACAAAAUGAACACACUGAAAAGUUUAUGAACAUUGGUAAGGGCAUCACGAAUACUUGCCACGAAAGUUAUAUACGAUCAACUACACGUUUAGGACCAGAAGCAUUCCGCUUUAGUGAAGCCGCCGAGGCUCGUGCCUUGAAAUCGAAUGAAAAAUACUACAUUUUAAGACCCGAAACUGUGGAAAGUUACUUUGUGCUCUGGCGUUUGACACACGAUCAAAAGUAUCGUGACUGGGGUUGGGAUGCUGUACAAGCAUUAGAGCAACAUUGUCGUACACCACACGGUUAUUCGGGCAUUAAGAAUGUCUAUCAAGAAGUACCACAAAAGGAUGAUGUACAACAAAGUUUCUUCUUAGCUGAAACUCUUAAGAUAUUUGCAUUUGGAUAACAUAAGAGAAAACGAUACUAUGAGGGUACAAUUUCUCGAAUUUUCUAUGGAUAUUCAUUUUGGAGCAAAUUGAAAGAUAUAUACUUUUCAAAGGGCUAAAGAAAUGAACGAAAUCAGACGUAACUUUAAAGAUAUAUACAUACUAGAUGCAAUCAUAUACUGGAGAUGCGAUUAUAACAAUUGUUUUUGGAUACAUUACUUAGAUCUACAAAAAAUGCCGUCAAAUAUAUACACAUUACAUGUUUUUAAGAUAAUCUUUAAAAAAAGUUUACUAAAAUUAUAAAAAUCAUAUAAUAAAAAUUAAGAGGAAAACGUUA
rnacentral:misc_RNA from 1 species